AGUCAAUGGUCUACCUUUAAUUAAUGAUUGUUCGAAAAUGAAGACAACCAUUCAUCAAUUAUCUUAGUGAGAAGACCAGUAUGAACUCUGAGCUCUUAGAUCUCAUGGUUGCAGGACGUGUUGCUUGGGUGUUUGAGGACUCAAAAAUCAUUGAACAAAUUAAAGGUGUUUGCACUUAUAUUUCAACCACCAACACUAGUACAGUACGGUGUGGCAACAAUUUUGGAGAGUCCAACGACUUAGCUUUUGAGUACUCGGAGAAACUAUUUUUCAAAAGUUGCCGAAACUUUUGGUACAGUUUCUCAGGUUCUUCCUCCAUGCUUUCCAACACUUGACUCUAGGCUUCCAUGCUCUCUUGAAGCACUCUAUAGUCUAUAUGCUUGAUGUCAACUUGGUAGUCUCCAUUAUCAAAGGAUUUAUUUACAAUCAAAGGAAACUGAAAAAGUGGAAGGGAGAUGGCCAAGGAGUGUCGCGAUGCAAUAGGUACCAUAAACCUUGUGAAGGGCCAGCAUUUAGAUAGAAGGACCAUUGAUCAAUUGGAGGAUGCUACAAAGCACCUAACACUUGUAGCUGUAUUUCUCACGAAUCUGGAGGAGCUUCACCCUGCUAAUGGAAUAUCUGGACAUCUUAGGCCCCUAUUUUCAGAAGCUCAUGACGGCUUUUCUCUGAUGUGUUCUCAUCCUCCUCGUUCUCAGUUUACCGUUAAACUGGAGAACAUUGCUGAGAAACUCAAAGCUUCAAAGGCGUCGAGAUCAACUAGGAAAAUGAUUCCAGAGCUGCUGAAAAUAAUUGAACCCAAGAAUAUUGCUAAGCAAAUCAAAGCUUCAAAGCCAUCAAGAUCAUCUAGCCCAAUCACUAUGGAUAUGGUGGGGUUUGUCGAAUCCUUGCUUGGUUCUGUUCAUCGUGCAUUGUUCUUCAUCAGUGUAGGGCCUCAUGUGUCUGUGCUUGACAAGAAGCUGCGACAUCUACAAGUCUUCUUUACUCUAAUUUCAAAGCGGGGCAUUGAGCAUGAGAGUAUGAAGGAUCUCUUCAACCAUGUUGAGGAUGUAGCUUACACUGCAGCACAACUAUGUCUCUUGGGGUCGAGCUGCGAUAUGGAUUACGAGUUCUCUAAAUUGCUGGAAAGGAUAAGUCGUCCUUUUAGCCCAGAAUUGAGGCAGAUUUAUCUCAAUGCCUUGAUAGGGUUAAAUUCAUCAAGAUCAAAGACUACAAUGAAUGCAAAAUAUAUGCUUGAUUUUGUUAGUGCUCUCCAAGAUGAUCUGAGACUAAGCUGUGAUAAUCGAAUUCGGUGGCUGCAACGAGGACUUUCUUACCUUUGUCGAUUUCUCAGGGACAUAGAAUCUUAUCCUGUUUCAAAUCGGAAAUUGAUUUCUCUUCGAUUGAAUAUGGAAGCUCUGGCUAUUGGGUCUGCUAGUGCCAUCUACUCCUAUGAUGAGAAAAUGGAUAAGACUACUGAAAUAGACCAUGUGCUUUUUCAUUUGCAACUGAAGUUCAAUUAUGUGAAAGUAGAAGUUGAUCUGAUUCGGCUACAGAACAUUCAAGGCACCAUAAUAGUUCCUAUGAAAGAUCUGAUUGACUAUGUUUGGGAAGAGCUGAUAUUCUUUAGAAGUUAUUUCAUGGAUGCAUUCGACCAGUGUAAAGAGCAGACUAAGAUAACUGUUAUUUUGACAUCUAUUCAGUCUGCAGUUAGCCAAGCAUGGUCAGUCUGUGAUUCUCUUUGUCAUGACUUGGAUCAAAACGACUUGGCCAGGGAAAUUAAUUGCUUGCAUUUUCAAUUGCUUCUUAAGUUCAAAUUUAUUAAGGCGGCGAUUAGACAGUUGUAUCCCAGCAUUUCUACAUCAUCAACACCAGACCAUCCUAUGAUAGAUCUGCUGAACUUUCUUCCUAUGAACUUUGGGGCCAUUGAUUCCUAUAUCAGCGUGCUAAAAGCCUCCUAUUCAUCGUUCUCACAUAGUCCCAAUAUGUAUGAGAAAUCCCCCCAUACAUCAUUCUCACUUAAUUCCGAUAUGGAUGAGAAACCCCCCUACACAUCAUCCUCACAUAUUCCCAAUAUGGAUGAGGUCUUGAUGAGGUUUCAUGAAUAUAUUCUUGACAAUCUGCUACUAAAGGAUGAAACCAAUUUGACGUUUACUGUUGCAGAUGAGGUCAAAAAGUUUUAUGAUGGGUUGUUGCUCCUGGUUACAUAUCUUAUUGAACCUCUAGUUCCUCACACUGAAUGCAGGAAGCAAAAUAAUCUCUCAACGGGAGAUGAAACUAUUGCAAUUGAGGCGGAAUCUUCUGUGCGUUUAUAUUAUGAGGAUACUAUGAAUAGCAACGAAUGUAAGGAGGUCAAUCUGGCACUUCAGUUUUUGACUGUGGUUUUCUGGCUUAUCAAAUCUGAGGGAAGCUUGAUGGAUCUACUGAAGCACAAAUCCACUUUGGAAGCUCAAGUUCUUGAUAUGAUUGAGAGUGCUCAUGAAGAACUUAUUCUUCUUAGGUCUAUUCUCUUGGAUCUUCUCAGGCAAAAGCUUAACAAAUUGGAUGAUCUCUUAAUGCAUGCUGAAGUGACUGCCAAAAGAUUAGCAAUAUUCUGUUAUACUUGUUAUGAAAGUUUCAUGAACGGAAGCAGCACUGAGAAAAUGAGGCCUUUGUUAUCUGAUUUUCUGCAAGAGAUUGAGUCUGUCAAGGUAGAGUUCAGAAAUGUAUGUUUUCAAGUUCUGGAUGUAUCACCUUGCACCAUGACAGAUGGAGAAGGCCUUGUCAAUUUCUUAUUAAACCACCAGGACAAGGUGCCGAAUGAUGAUGCUGUUUCUUCUGACGGAAGUUUCACCGAUGGAAGCAGCACUGAGAAAAUGGGACUUUCAUUAGCUGAUUUUCCACGAGAGAUUGAGUCUGUUGAGGUAGAGGAGGUCAGAAAAUUAUGUGAUCAAGUUUUGGAUGCAUCACCUUGUGAGAUGAGUAAGACUGAUGAGAAAAGCUUUAUCAACAUUUUGUUAACCCAACAGGACAAGGUGCUGGACGAUGAUACUGGUUCAAUCUCUUAUCUGCUUAACCAAAUCUCUGUAGUUAAAGACAAAUUAUCGCACAUUGGCUCUUUACUUGUAGAUAUUGUACAGUACCGCAAUAUGCAUAGAGAACUCAAAGAUCUUGCUGAACGUGUUCAAGAUAAAAACUACAUUUGUUUCUUCUCUGUCAAGGGUUGUAUUCCAGUUUGGUAUCACACACUAUAUCUCUCUGAUGUCAAGCAAUUGCUUAAGUUUGUUGAGGCAGAGGUAAAGAUGAUUUGUCUGAAAGUACCAGAUUCUUCAAGUUAUAGCUUCCCUAAGACAAAUGGAUUAGGAUAUCUCAAUUGCUUUUUGGGCAAAUUGGAGGAGCUUUUACGUUCUAAGUUCGAUUUGGUAAUCGACUUAAAACAUCAGAUUGAAUCAGUCAAGGAGGGAUUAUUGUGCCUAAGAUCAUUCAUUGAUCAUUUUUCAGAAAGCUAUGAUGAGCAUGAUGAAGCUUAUGGUCUUAUAAGAAGUGUUUCUGUAAUGGCAUACAAGGCUGAGUAUGUCAUUCACUCAUGCUUGGCCUAUUCUCAUCCACUCUGGUACAAAGUUCUUUGGAUUUCUGAAGUUUUUGAGGAUAUUAAGCUUGUAAAUAAAUUUGUUGGGGAGACAUGUGAAAGAAGGAAAAUUGAAGCGACUGUGCAUGAAGUUGCAAAGACCUCCACUAAUCUAGCACCAUCUUUUCCAGUUAAUACUCAAAGAGCAAAUGAAGAAAUGGAGGGUUUUCAGGAUACAAUGGAUGAAUUAAAGGAGAAGCUACUUAGAGGAUCACCUGAGCUAGAUGUCAUUUCAAUCGUUGGCAUGCCAGGAUUGGGCAAGACUACACUAGCGAAGAAAAUUUACAAUGAUCCAGUAGUCACCUCUCGCUUUGAUGUCCAUGCUCAAUGUGUUGUGACUCAAUUAUAUUCAUGGAGAGAGUUGUUGCUCACCAUUUUGAAUGAUGCGCUUGAGCCUUCUGAUCGCAAUGAAAAAGAAGAUGGUGAAAUAGCUGAGGAGCUACGCCGAUUGUUGUUGACCAAGAGAUUCUUGAUUUUCAUUGAUGAUGUAUGGGACACUAAAGUGUGGGACAAUCUAUAUAUGUGCUUCAGAGAUGUUUGGAAUGGGAGUAGAAUUAUUCUAACAACCCGGUUGAGUGAUGUUGCCAAUUAUGUUAAAUGUGAAAGUGAUCCCCAUCAUCUUCGUUUAUUCAGAGAUGAUGAGAGUUGGACAUUAUUACAGAAAGAAGUCUUUCAAGGGGAGAGCUGUCCGCCCGAACUUGAAGGUGUGGGAUUUGAAAUAGCAAAAAGUUGUAGAGGGUUGCCUCUCUCAGUUGUGUUAGUAGCUGGUGUUCUGAAACAGAAAAAGAAGACACUAGAUUCUUGGAAAGUAAUAGAACAAAGUCUAGGUUCCCAGAGCAUUGGCAGCUUGGAAGAGAGCAUAUCUAUAAUUGGAUUCAGUUACAAGAAUUUACCACACUAUCUUAAGCCUUGUUUUCUCUAUUUUGGAGGAUUUUUGCAGGGAAAGGAUAUUCAUGUCUCAAAAAUGACCAAGUUGUGGGUAGCCGAAGGGUUUGUACAAGCAAACAAGGAAAAAGGACAAGAAGAUGCUGCACAAGGUUUCUUGGACGAUCUUAUUCGUAGGAAUCUAGUGAUGGUCAUGGAGAGGAGACCUAAUGCCAAGGUGAAAACGUGCCGCAUUCAUGAUUUGCUGCAUAAAUUCUGCAUGGAAAAGGCCAAACAAGAGGAUUUCCUUCUCCAAAUCAAUAGUGGAGAAGGUGUAUUUCCUGAACAAUUGGAGGAAUAUCGAUUGUUCGUUCAUUCUUACCAAGAUGAAAUUGAUCUGUGGCGGCCAUCUCGCUCAAAUGUCCGCUCGUUACUAUUCAAUGCAAUUGAUCCAGAUAACUUGUUAUGGCCACGUGAUAUCUCCUUCAUUUUUGAGAGCUUCAAACUUGUUAAAGUUUUGGAUUUGGAAUCAUUCAACAUUGGUGGUACUUUUCCCACUGAAAUACAAUAUCUAAUUCAGAUGACGUACUUUGCGGCUCAAACUGAUGCAAAUUCGAUUCCUUCAUCUUUAUCUAAGCUUGAAAAUCUUGAGACUUUUGUCAUAAAAGGAUUGGGAGGAGAGAUGAUAUUACCUUGUUCACUUCUGAAGAUGGUGAAAUUGAGGCAUAUACAUGUAAAUGAUCGGGUUUCUUUUGGUUUGCAUGAGAACAUGGAUGAAUCAGCUGGUAACUCACAAUUAGCUAAUUUGGAAACCUUUUCUACUCCACGUCUCUUUUAUGGUAAAGACGCAGAGAAGAUUUUGAGGAAGAUGCCAAAAUUGAGAAAGUUGAGUUGCAUAUUUUCAGGGACAUUUGGUUAUUCAAGGAAAUUGAUGGGUAGGUGUGUUCGUUUUCCCAGAUUAGAUUUUCUAAGUCACCUUGAGUCCCUCAAGCUGGUUUCCAACAGCUAUCCAGCUAAACUUCCUCACAAGUUCAAUUUCCCGUCGCAACUGAGGGAAUUGACUUUAUCAAAGUUCCGUCUACCUUGGACCCAAAUUUCAACCAUUGCAGAACUGCCCAACUUAGUGAUUCUUAAGUUAUUGCUCAGAGCCUUUGAAGGGGAUCACUGGGAAGUGAAAGAUUCAGAGUUCCCUGAACUCAAAUACUUGAAACUGGACAACCUCAAAGUUGCACAAUGGUCUGUCUCUGAUGAUGCUUUUCCUAAGCUUGAACAUUUGGUUUUAACGAAAUGUAAGCAUCUUGAGAAAAUCCCUUUAGAUUAUGCUGUAUCUCUAAAUAGAAUUGAGGUAAACUGGUGCAACUGGUCUGUUGCCAAUUCAGCCCAAGAAAUUCAAACAACGCAACAUGAAGUUAUGGCAAAUGAUUCAUUCACAGUUACUAUCCAGCCUCCAGAUUGGUCUAAAAGAUCAUCCCCAUGACUCUUACCAAGCAAGAGGUGUUAUGUUUAUUUCUAGUGCAAAUGGAGUUAUUAUGUUUAAUUCUUAAAAAGAAGAAGAAUCAGGAGCAGAGGAUAUAUGGCACCAGAUACUUGGCUCAGAAGUUUUUGCCGUGGAUGAAACAAGCAUGGCAACAUUUUCAACAUGCAAGAAUAGAGGAACUGUUUGAUCCAAAUCUUAUGCUUCACAACUAUCACACAAGCAAUGCAAAAAAAGGAGGUUCUGGGAUUAAGACCAUUCAUAAUGUCCAAGGCAUUGCUGAUGCGAGUAAAGAAAGAGAGAGAUUUACUUGCUCCAACUAAUCCCCCCUUUAUAGAUGAUGAAAUGAGAAAAAAUGGAGCUUCAUGAAACUUGGGAUACCGAUCUUAUCCCCAUAGAGAAGGUAAUUCGGCUUUGAUAGCCACUUGCCAGCAUUUCUCACAGUUGUUUCUACUCCAGAUUAUGUUUCAGUGACCUCAAACUGAAACAUCACAUAAAUAUGCAAGAGCGAAUCUGUGCAUCUCAAGUAUUGUCUUGCCUUGGGUUCUUUGUUUAUUUGUUUUUUUUAAUGGCAUACUCUGGGAGCACAUGUUUGUUUGUUGUAAAUUGUAAUGGUGAAGUGUUUGUACAUAUCUUGGAGGCAAUUUAUCAUUGUUACAUUACACAUUACCAGGAAGACAUAUCUGAGUACCCUCACUUUUAAUGAGAAUUGGAAAGUAUAGGGAGUGCUAUUUCAAAGAAUGUAUGUGUUAAAUCUUUACA